GUUGAACGCUGGCGGCAUGCCUAACACAUGCAAGUCGAACGGUAACAGUAAGAAGCUUGCUUCUUUGCUGACGAGUGGCGGACGGGUGAGUAAUGUCUGGGAAACUGCCUGAUGGAGGGGGGUAACUACUUGAAACGGUAGCUGAUACCGCAUAACGUCGCAAGACCAAAAACUUUGACCGUCGAGCCUCUUGCCAUCUGAUGUUCGCAGAUGGGAUGGGCUAGUAGGUGGGGGAACGACUCACCUAGGCGACGAUCCUUAGCUGGUCUGAGAGGUUGACUCGCCAGACUGGAAGUGAGACACGGUCCACACUCCGAAGGGAGGCAGCAGUGGGGAAUAUUGCAGAAUGGGGGAGAGGCGGAUGCAGCAAUGUCGGGUGUAGGAAGAAGGACCAAGGGUGGGAAAGCAAUUUCAGCGUGGAGGACGGGAGUAUAGGUAAUAAAGGUGCUCAUUGACGUUACCUGAAGAAGAAGCACCGGCUAACUACGUG
rnacentral:rRNA from 1 species